rnacentral:rRNA from 1 species
GUGUCAGCAGCCGCGGUAAUACCGGCAGCUCGAGUGAUGACCGAUUUUAUUGGGCCUAAAGCGUCCGUAGCUGGCCAGGCAAGUCCGUUGGGAAAUCCACCUGCUCAACGGGUGGGCGUCCAGCGGAAACUGCUUGGCUUGGGACCGGAAGAUCCAAGGGGUACGUCCGGGGUAGGAGUGAAAUCCUGUAAUCCUGGACGGACCGCCGAUGGCGAAAGCACGUCGCGAGAACGGAUCCGACAGUGAGGGACGAAAGCCAGGGUCUCGAACCGGAUUAGAAACCCCCGUAGUCC